GACAGCACAGCCUAUGACCCUCAAGGCUGUCAAUAAGUACUAGUGAAUCAAUGAAUUAAUCAAUGGGUGGCUGUGGUAAAAGGAACUGACCUAACAAGAACUUCUAAACUUUAUUGAAUGUUUAUUUGUGUGCCAGAAACUUUAAUGUACUUUAAUUUAUUUAAUCCAAACAACAAGACAUUAUGGUAGGCUCUAUUUUUAUUUCCAUUUUUGAAAUGAGGAAACUAAAGCUUACAAAAGUUAAAUCCCAAGGCCAAGACCAUACAACCAGGUCUAAUGCUUUUCAUGAUCAUAACACAUGGUCUUAAAUGCCUUUUUUUGGCUUUCACCAAAUAGUAAUAGAAAAAACAUUCAACUUUGACAUUUUAAUUUAGCAUAACACUCAUUAAAUAAUCCAGUGCUUCCACAAUCAGGUAGAACAUGGCUUCAUAUUCCAUAGGGCUCUACCUCAGUUUAUUCAUUCAUAAGGUAGAAAUGAUGAAGCCUGCCUCUUCUCUGGGAGAUUAUGAGAUUUAAUGAGGGCAAUGGUUAUUAUGCUUUGAAGUUAGAAAGUGCUUAUUAAUAUCAGGGAUCAUGAUUAUGUUUCCCAAUAAGAUAUCCUUGUCUUUAAAGCCAGUUGCCUGGGAUGAGCCCCAAGGUUCCCCAGAGGGAAUGGUAAAGGGAACAUUCACGUUGGAUGCCUAAUUCAGCCCAUAUGGUUUUGCAGUGAUUCCAUAAGUGAGGAGGAGAGGAAAUAAUCCCAUCUUUUUAACUUUCAAGUGUGGGAACAUUAGAGUUUGCUCCUUAAUGAUCAUAACAUUCAGGAAUGUUGGCACCUUUUCUUCCUGACUUCACGUUACGAAACCCAGGGAGUGUUGAGUAACAGGAUGUACGUUCAUGCCAUUUUCAGUUUCUUUGGGGGUUCGUUUUGGGAAACCUUCCUUCAAGCAAGAGCUUCAGUGGUUAGACACAGAACAGCCCUUUAACCUCAGGGCUGUUGUCUCCAAUGUGGUGUAAAGGUCCUGAAGUGUGGAGUAAGAGUUGGAUUCUGUUCCUGAUCAGUUAGGAGCCAUUGUUUGCAAAUAUGUUCCCCGAUGGAAAAGGAUCAGAUCCCGGACGGUUGAUUAGACAAAAUUGGAAAUCAUACAGGAGGAAACGGUGGGUGUGGUCAUGAGGAUGUAUUGAUUGUGAAUUAUCUAAAUUUUUUUCCUGUUCCACUAAUUGAAAAACAUGGAGUGCUCUUCAAUGGAAAGACCAGUUCUUUGAAAUUUGGAACAAUGCAUUUUCUUCAUUGCCAAAAAGACCCUGAGCACACCCAAUUGUGUACAAAAAGAACCAAGAAGAAUGCAGAGCACACGGUAGUAGUUCAGUCAAUGAUUAUGGAAUAAAGAAGGAAGAAAAUGAAGGCAAGAGCUUGCAGUAAGUUGUGCAGAAUCACAGAGCUACUACGGACAGAGCUGCACUUGAAGUCAUGUCUAACUAGUUCCAAAGUCUUUGCAGUUUGCACCCCAAAAAGCUGCUGAUGCCUGGAGAAAAAUAAUGGCUAAUAUUUACUAAAUGUUUACUGUGUGUCGGAUACUGUUCUAAAUUCUUCACAUACAUCAAAUUAUUUCUUCCCGCUGGAAAAAAACAAAAACCUGUGUGGUAGAUACUAUUAAUAGUAUCCCCAUUUUCCAGAUCAAGUUACAGAGACUUUGAGAGUUAUGGAAUUUUUCCAAGAUUAUAAAUUUUGUAAAUUAUUGAGAGGAAUUUGGACACAGGCAGACUUACUCCAGAGCCGUCCUUGUUAUUCAGAGUGAACAUGGCUUAUGAAACAAGGACUACAGAAGUUUUAAGAGUGAGGGCACAGCCAGCUUGAUGAGUGGAGAAUGGUGGUCAUAGACAAUCUGAGUUGGAAAGCAUUUUAGUGGUCACAUCUCACCCAAACCUGCUUAUCUGGUAGUUUAAAACCAUGUUCAGUGGAGCCUUAAAUAUCUCCUAAUGGCAGCUCAGGCCUCCUGCAGAGUCCAAGGGUACAUCAGUUAUGCUCUUGCCCAUCCUGGUUUUCCUUUUGUCUGCUAUACAUUUUAUGCUUUUCUAUAUGGAUUAAUUUGAAUAAUGGUUCUCUAGCUUUAAAAGCUUGAAAGUCUCUCUCCUAUUUAUGACAUCUGGGUGUGGUCAUCCAGCCAUCCUUCAAUACUUCCACUAGUGUGGAAUUUAUUACUUAGUAAGGUUGUUUAUUCCAAUUUCUGAUAUAUUGGAAAGCUCUUUGCUUUAUAAGUCAAAUUUUAUCUCCAUAUAAGACCCAUAUUUCCAAAGCAAAUAGCAUUCAUUUGAUGGCCUAAAGUGUGGUCUAUCUUGAUGAAUUUUCCAUGCUGUUGUACUCUGCUGUUGUUGAGUGGAAUGUUCUAUAAAUGUCGAUUGGGUAAAGCUGGCUGAUAGCGUUGUACAGCUCUUGUGUAUCUUUAUUGAUUUCUUGAACACUUGUCCUAGCAAUUAAUGACACAGAGGCGUUGAAGCCUCCAACUUUAAUUGUGGAUUUGUCUAUUUCUCCUUUCC